AAAAGAUUAAAGAAGCCAUCUUCAAUCUUUCUUCUUCUUUCUUCCUUUCUGGUUUUCUUCUUUAUUGUUUCUUGAAGAUGAUGGUGAGAUGAAGAGAAGGUGAAGAGAGGAAGAAGAGGAAGAUGAAUGCAUAACGUUUUAAAGUGGUUCGGCAAAUGCCUACAUCCACUGUGCCUUGGGAGCAAGAUCAGAUGCACAGGAGCAUCGAUAGAGAUUUGGACUGAAGCUGGAGACAAUGGAAUCCAGAGUUGCUCCGACGUGUGGGCAAAUAAACAGACCUACUGAUGACAACUAGUUCCGCCACGACACGAUUGAGUCUAGUAUCGGUAUAGGUAGAGCCAAAUUUUGAAAAUCUCAUGGCGUAAAUUCUAGCACUCGACGUUGGAAUAGUUGAACUUCGUCAGACCUCGACGACGAGCCUUCUCAUUGGGUGAGUGUACGGACAUUUAGUCCAAUUGUGCACCCUUGAACUUUGAACACAUAAAUCCAAAACCGAUCACACAAAAUGAAAGAGAAAGAUUGAGAGGAAGAAAGAGAGAGAUUGAGAAUGCUUGAGAAGACAUAUGGAGGGAUUAAAUCCCUAUUCCUUUCCUUCCA